rnacentral:rRNA from 1 species
AGCAGCCGCGGUAAUUCCAGCUCCAAUAGCGUAUAUUAAAGUUGUUGCAGUUAAAAAGCUCGUAGUUGAAUUUCGGGAUCAAUUUAUUGGUCGUGCUAUUGUACGUACUGGUAUUAUUGAUUCCUACCUUCUGACGAACCAUGAUGUCAUUAAUUUGGUGUCAUGGGGAAUCAGGACUGUUACUUUGAAAAAAUUAGAGUGUUUAAAGCAGGCUCACGCUUGAAUACAUUAGCAUGGAAUAACGAAAUAGGACGUUUGAUUCUAUUUUGUUGGUUUCUAGGAUCGACGUAAUGAUUAAUAGGGAUAGUUGGGGGCAUUAGUAUUCAAUUGUCAGAGGUGAAAUUCUUGGAUUUAUUGAAGACUAACUACUGACGAAAGCAUUUGCCAAGGAUGUUUCAUUAAUCAAGAACGAAAGUUAGGGAUCGAAGACGAUCAGAUACCGUCGUAGUC